UAGUUCACCACAAAUCUGCCAGAAAGACCCCAGCUGAAUACAUUUCAAUGUGCAGAAUUAAGCACAUAUGCAGUAUAGUGCUGUUACCCAAUACUGUUGGUGCGUUGGCCAUUGGCACUGUGUUACUGUAAAACCAGACAAAUAUGUGACGUUUUCCCUCUUUUUUUACAUUUUGUUUUUGCCUACAGAUGGAAUCAAGAUCCCUGGAACCGAGAAUGAGACGACUUGUGGGGGAUUCACAGGGCUUCUUGUGGGAUGGAGAGAAGAUGGCUACUGGAUGUUCUCUGGACUGGAUCCUGGAUCAGCAGCAACAGUGGAAGUUCCAUUUUGGAUCUGGCUAUCAUCAAUAUCAUUUAUUAAUAUCACAAUACAGACCUUUAGACUAAUGUGAGGAGUGUUGUCCAGUGUUCCUCAGCCCCUUCCGGACAGGCUCAUAAUGGGACACUUCAUGUUUCCUCAGCCCCCUUCUGGACAGGUACAUAAUGGGACACUUCACAUUUCCUCAGCCCCUUCUGGACAGGUACAUAAUGGGACACUUCACAUUUCCUCAGCCCCUUCUGGACAGGUACAUAAUGGGACACUUCAUGUUUCCUCAGCCCCCUUCUGGACAGGUACAUAAUGGGACACUUCACAUUUCCUCAGCCCCUUCUGGACAGGUACAUAAUGGGACAGUCCACUUUUCAUCACAUCCUCCAUGGAAAGUUACAGUCCACUUUAACCGCCAACACCCCUUGCCCCCAUAACGUACAUGGGACAGUCUCACAUUUCUUCUGGAAUAAGACAUGACUGUCAUCCACUCCAGUUCACCCAAUGGGAUUCCAACAGAAUGACUUUUAUUCUACUGCACAUGUCUAAAGGACUGGCUUUCUGUUUAAAACAUCUAUGACAUCACACUGAGCUGCUGCUGUACUUAUUGAACAUGAUACAUGUACUUCUAUUUUCUAAGUCACUAUAUUAUGCUGUUGUUGAAACUUGAAGAAUGCUGAACAGGUCCGUUGAAGAUUUCUGAGGGCACUUCAAUAUGCCACUAUUUCAACAACAUAUAAUAAGCCUGUAAAUUGAGACAUGUUUACCUUCUCAUCGUAUCAAAUGUGACAAUAGGACAGUACAUUUCAGCACUUGCCACUUGUCAGGUCGCUAUUGUAAACAAUGAUUUGUCUCACCUGGAUAAUUAAAUGUUAGAUUAAACAAAUAAUACAUUGUUCCUCGCCGGCUUUGCAAACCAGUUGACAUCUCUAUCCAAACAGCUUCUAUCCAAACAGUAAAUGUUGACAUGUAUUAAUUACUGCUGUCAGAGUGUCUUAUCUGCUCAUCUAUGGGAGUUUUAUAGAUCAGUAAGUCAUGUUGUCUAUCUGUCUGGAGAGAGAGAGAGCUAGAUGAAGGGAGAGAGAUGAAGGGAGAGAGAGAGUGAGAAAGGGAGAGAGAGAUGCAUACACAGAUAGAGAGGGAGAAAAGAGAGGGAGAGAGAGAGAAGAGAGAGAGAAAAGGUAGAGAGAUGAGAGAGAGUGUGAGAGACUAGGUUCCCCUAGCCACAUCAUAAUUCACACAGGCACAAAUGACCUGAGAGCCCAGCAGGAAAGGGCGGCCACAACACUCAAGGGAGUCCUCUUGGAGCCCAAGAACACUCAAGGGAGCCCAAGAGGACUUACACCCAGACCACAGCAUCACCAGCCACACCCCAACCAGCUAAGACCACCCCAAGCAGACCCUGGCUACAACCUAUAUAGGCCUCCCAUAUCAGACCUAUGCCCCUUCUGCCCACCCCAUGCCCCCCGCCCCCGCGGCGAGGACCUCAACAUGACAGCGGGAGAUAUGCCCAGGCCGUGAACAAAGCAACACGCCCAACCCCCACCAUUACACCCGCCCAAGCCCCAUUCUGCGACCUAAGAGGUAUGUAUCAGAUGCUCAACAUACUCUGCUCACACCUAUUGUGAUGGUUCAGGCCUAAACCUCACAAAAACAACACUAGAUGUUAUGGAACACAAAGCUUUUACUAUCUCGUCAUGGAAUAUACAAGGUCUGAGGUCAUCUGUGCUACCUAUAUCCCCACAUACGUUGACAGCUUCUCCAUCCUAUAGGGGGAGAUCAAUCAUUUCCAGGCCCAGGGACAUGU
rnacentral:lncRNA from 13 species